GCCUGGUUAGUUUAAUCGGUAAAACGUAAGACUUUUAUAAAGUACUCCGAAAUCUUAAAGUUAUAGGUUUGACCUUUAUAUUAAGCU